GAAUAUGCACGAAGUCUGAUGCAGCCACGUCGCGUGAAGGGAUGACUGCCCUAUGGGUUGUAAACUUCUUUUAUAAGGAAAUAAAGUGAGGGACGUGUCCCUUUUUGUAUGUACCUUAUGAAUAAGGAUCGGCUAACUCCGUGCCAGCAGCCGCGGUAAUACGGAGGAUCCGAGCGUUAUCCGGAUUUAUUGGGUUUAAAGGGAGCGUAGGUUGACAUAUAAGUCAGCUGUGAAAGUUUACGGCUCAACCGUGAAAUUGCAGUUGAUACUGUAUGUCUUGAGUGUACAAGAGGUGGGCGGAAUUCGUGGUGUAGCGGUGAAAUGCUUAGAUAUCACGAAGAACUCCAAUUGCGAAGGCAGCUCACUGGGGUACAACUGACACUGAGGCUCGAAAGUGUGGGUAUCAAACAGGAUUAGAUACCCUGGUAGUCCACACAGUAAACGAUGAAUACUCGCUGUUUGCGAUAUACAGUAAGCGGCCAAGCGAAAGCAUUAAGUAUUCCACCUGGGGAGUACGCCGGCAAACGGUGAAACUCAAAGAAAUUUGACGGAGAAGCUG
rnacentral:rRNA from 1 species